UACGUAGGAUCCUAGCGUUGUCCGGAUUUACUGGGUGUAAAGGGUGCGCAGGCGGACUUAUAAGUCAGUGGUGAAAUCUCGGCGCUCAACGCCGAAACUGCCUUUGAUACUAUAAGUCUUGAGUUUGGUAGAGAUCCGUGGAAUUCCGAGUGUAGCAGUGAAAUGCGUAGAGAUCCGGAGGAACACCGAAGGCGAAGGCAGUGUCCUGGGGAGUACCUGACGCUCAGGUGCGAAAGCCAGGGGAGCGAACGGG
rnacentral:rRNA from 1 species